CACGCAGGCGCCAAAGUGGCGUGUUGUUGCUUAGCAACGCUAUUCCUCUAUCCGAGGCUAUUCCUCUAUCCGAGGUGAUAGAGGAAUUCCAAAGUCCAAUUCACACCGCAUUCCAGCGUGCGCGCACGCGUACGCGCGCACGCAAGUCGGGGGACAGAAAGCCACUUACAAACCCGACACGGUAUUAGAGGCUGGGCUGUGGAAUUUGGGAUGAAGGAAAAGACUUUGCUACCUACUUUGGAAGAACGAACUAGAGCGAGGUAACCACGAGAUAUUUGCUCAGCUAUACUCAUCACGUUCAUCAUAAUAACUAGGAAAUAGAGACAACCUAAAUGUCCUUCAACUGAUGAAAGAUAAUGAAAAUGUGGUACAUAUACACAAUGGAAUUCUAUGUCAGCUGUAAAGAAAAAAUGAAAUCAAUUUGCAAUAGCUAUUCAAAUAUUGGAGAGAAGAAAGAUUAGAAGUAAAUGGAGUUCACAUGGGGGUCAAUGGAUUUCAAGGAAGAUAUUCUGAAUUAACGCUCAGUGCCUGACGAACAGUACUGUACUGAUGUCCACUGACAACUGGAAAGGAGGGUCUCAAUGGUAAGAUUGAAGAAAAUGCUAUGGAUGAAAAUUCUAAUCCUAAGAACAAUAGGAAAGUAUACAGGCAACAAGAGAACAGUAACAUUCUUUCCUGCACACCGGACAUGCUUUCUGAAACCAAAAAUAUCUUACAUAAACUUAAAGAAACAAAAUAACAAGAAACAGAAAACUCAGAGAAGUCCAAAUAUCUAGAAAGAUUCAUCCUGUGAUGAGGAAAACAGAAAGGGAAAUCACGAUGUUAUGGGAAAUAGGCCAGACAAAGAAAGACAAAUAAUACAUUUUCUCACAUCUGAAGAAUCUAGAUUUAAAUGUUUCUGUAUGUGGUCAUAGAUCAGAAAAGAGGACACAGACAUGAAAAAGAUCUUGGGGAGAAAGAAUGAUGCAACAUCUGUGACAGGAAAGCAGAAAGGGGCUAUGUGGAAGAGGAAGGGGAUCAGCAAAAUGGGGCAAACGGAUGAGGAAGACUGAAGCAUGUAUGAAAAUGCCAUCAUGCUACCCAUUACUUUGCAUACUAACUUUAAAAGCUGAUUUAAGAAACCUAUAUAUUUAUACUCUAAACAAGUGGUUCUCAACCUGUGAGUUUCACCACCCACAGGGGUUGAUGUCAGAUAUCAUGUAUAUCAGAUAUUUACAUUGUGAUUCAUAAAGUAGCGAAAUUAUAACUAUGAAGUAGCAAUGAAAUAAUUUUUUGAUUGGGGUCACCACAACAUGAGGAACUGUCUUAAAGGGUUACAGCAGUAGGAAGGUUGAGAAACACUGCUCUAAACCAUCUCUUGAAAUAUAUAUAUGUUUUUAUAUUAUAUAUAUAUAUACAUAUAUAUAUAUGGCUAAAAAGAGUUAAAUGCAAUAGUUUACUUCGUUUUCUUGUGAAAGCACAAUCUUUCAACAAUUUUCAUGGAUUUUUCAUUGUAACUUGAAAAAAAUUUUCUUUUAAAUAAGUUUCUUCAAACUCCAUAGGAAACUUACUGUAGAAAGAAACCCAGUGUGCCACCUAAAGGAGAUACCGUGAGGUCUUUCUCAUAGACAGACACAUGAAGUAGAUGGUGCAGCAGGUCACUGACAGCCUAAGUGUUCCAGAGAAGAGAUGGAUCUUGGAUUUAGCUAGAGAUGAAAAUAUAGCACUGUGUGAGAUUUUGAGACCUUGUAAAUAGGAAAGCAAAUAUGAUAAUAUUCUUGAGCCAUUGAUACCAUGGUGGAAUGCUCUAUCAUACCAUUUCUGACCACAGCUUUGGUUUUUUCCUUCUCUCUGGUUAUGAGAACAAAUUUCAAGGGUAGUCAUGUCUACUUUGCUGUUCAUAGUCCAGCAGUUAAGAACUCCAUAAUAACUAUGCCCCAAACCAUGUCUCGAUGGUAGGUAUAAGCCUUGAUUCCUGCUGAAUAACUACUGACCUUGUUAUCACUAAUUUAUACCAGAUAGGGUUUCAAGCCUUUCUAUAUGAGCUGAACUUCCCAUUUGAAAACUCUUUAUAAAGAUUUUUUUAAAUCAAUGUGUGUUGUAGAAUAGAAUGUUAGUUUAACUGUGUAAAGAUGUGUUGUAUUUGAUUGUGUUGCAGAAUAAUUGUUUAGCUCUGUAAAGAUGGAUUACAUUUGUUUUUGCUGCAUUUGUUUAAUUAUGUAAAAAUUAUAUGUUGCUGUUUUACCUUGCCUGCUUAAGGCACCUGAUUAUUCUAAUAAAAAGCUGGAGGGGCUGGAGAGAUGGCUCAGUGGUUAAGAGCAUUGCCUGCUCUUCCAGAGGUCCUGAGUUCAAUUCCCAGCAACCACAUGGUGGCUCACAACCAUCUGUAAUGAGGUCUGGUGCCCUCUUCUG